CCUACGGGAGGCUGCAGUGGGGAAUAUUGGACAAUGGGGGGAACCCUGAACCAGCCAUGCCGCGUGUGUGAAGAAGGCCCUCGGGUUGUAAAGCACUUUCAGUGAGGAAGAACGCCUGGUGGUUAAUACCCAUCAGGAAAGACAUCACUCACAGAAGAAGCACCGGCUAACUCCGUGCCAGCAGCCGCGGUAAUACGGAGGGUGCGAGCGUUAAUCGGAAUUACUGGGCGUAAAGCGCGCGUAGGUGGCUUGAUAAGCCGGUUGUGAAAGCCCCGGGCUCAACCUGGGAACGGCAUCCGGAACUGUCAAGCUAGAGUGCAGGAGAGGAAGGUAGAAUUCCCGGUGUAGCGGUGAAAUGCGUAGAGAUCGGGAGGAAUACCAGUGGCGAAGGCGGCCUUCUGGACUGACACUGACACUGAGGUGCGAAAGCGUGGGUAGCAAACAGGAUUAGAUACCCUAGUAGUC
rnacentral:rRNA from 1 species